rnacentral:rRNA from 1 species
UAGGGAAUCUUCCGCAAUGGACGCAAGUCUGACGGAGCAACGCCGCGUGAGUGAAGAAGGAUUUCGGUUCGUAAAACUCUGUUGUUAGAGAAGAACAGCGCAUAGAGUAACUGUUAUGCGUGUGACGGUAUCUAACCAGAAAGCCACGGCUAACUACGUGCCAGCAGCCGCGGUAAUACGUAGGUGGCAAGCGUUGUCCGGAUUUAUUGGGCGUAAAGCGAGCGCAGGCGGUCAAUUAAGUCUGAUGUGAAAGCCCCCGGCUCAACCGGGGAGGGUCAUUGGAAACUGGUUGACUUGAGUGCAGAAGAGGAGAGUGGAAUUCCAUGUGUAGCGGUGAAAUGCGUAGAUAUAUGGAGGAACACCAGUGGCGAAGGCGACUCUCUGGUCUGUAACUGACGCUGAGGCUCGAAAGCGUGGGUAGCAGACAGG